UUUGAUAAAGUCUGUUUUGUUU
rnacentral:misc_RNA from 1 species